CCGAUCCAUACUCGGCUUAUCCAAUGGUUCUGGUUCAAAUCCCUAUGUACAACUAAAGAGAGGUUUAUAAACUGUCCAUCGGAGCUGCAUGUGGCCUCUCUUGGCCUUCUGAUCGGAUCAUUAUUCAAGUCCUUGAUGAUUCAACUGACCCAACCAUUAAGGAUAUGGUGGAGCG